rnacentral:lncRNA from 1 species
GCAUAUAUCAUUGAUCAUAAUUUUUGAAUAUAAUAUACCUUAAUUAUUGAUCACUAUAGAAGAUACUCUUGCUUCGAUAGAUACUAUACAUUUUUUACUCAAUCAUGUCGAUAUAUGGAACACAUUAAGAUUGUUUAAUCUUGCCAGUCAAACACUAAGGGUGAGAUUGCAACCUUCAAGGAAAAGUAGGAAACGUGUAUUAAAAAAAACACCAUAAACAUGGCUUGUCCUUUCCUUUUACAUAUAAAAAUAAAAAUGAUACAGUAAGCAUGGGCCCACUAAAACACGUGACACAUAGU